rnacentral:rRNA from 1 species
AUGGGGGCUACCCUGUUAGAUGGUGUUGUUGUGGAAAAGCAUGGGAUGGUUGCUGCUGGAGCCCUUGUAAGACAGAACACAAGGAACCCUUGUGGAGAGGUAUGGGGUGGAAACCCUGCAAAAUUUUCGAGGAAGCUCACAAAUGAGGAGAUCGCUUUUAUUGCGGAAUCAGCUGCCAACUAUUCCAACUUAGCCAAGGCACAUGCUAUUGAGAAUGCUAAACCCUUGGAAAAGAUUGAUUUUGAGAAAGUGAUGCGCAAGAAAUUUGCUCACCAGGAUGAUGAACAUGAUUCCAUGCUUAGUGUCAGUCGAGAGGUCCCUCCAGAGCUGGCGCCCCCAGUCCUACUCCUUCCCAAU